GGGAAGCUCGUGAAAGAAGUCAGGCUCCGCAACCCGUACUUUCGUUUUCUUCUGGCAUUCUCCAGAUCUGUUACCCGCCAGGAGUGAGAAGUUCCGCUUGAUGGUAAGAAAGAAGCUAAAGAAGAUUACUCUACUGAUAUUGCUAAUAAAAGUACACCUAAAUCAAGAAAGUGUGAUGGAAGUUAUGUAUUUUUUAUUUCAGGUUUGCUAAUGGGCUGCAGAUUUCCAGAUUAGGUAGAAGAUAUAUUCACAAUGGAAAUCAGUGAAAGUCACUGCUUAAAGACCAAAGAACAAUUAAAGUGAUAUUAAGUGGAUGGAUAGUAUCCAACAUGCCUCAACAACACUGUGGAGCAUCAUCAAGGAAAUAAGCAAAGCCAUGAUCUACACAUUUUCCCAAGAAGAUUCAUCUGCAGCUAGUUUUAUUACAUCUCAGAAAUAACCACCUUGCUUGCAAGCUUGCCCUUCCCCUCCAAAUAUGAUUCAGUUGUUCUCUUUUUGCAUUGGUAAUCUCACUGACAUGUUUCAAAGGGAGCCACUAGGCAAAGCUUGUGCAGCGACCUGAUUGGGACCAGCUGAAAGCCACCUUGGACACAUUUUGGAGUAAUAGCAAGCCUUUUCCUGAUCUACCCAUCAGGUUUUAAUAAUAAUUUUUAAAAAUGCCCCAGACUGGCAAAUACAGAUGGUCUUUCUUGACUUUCCUCAUCAAUUCUGGCUCCAUAAACAAAACAGUUGUAGAGAAUUUAAAUAUAAAAGAAGUUCAAAUUAUUGGUGCAAUAAUUAAAUAAUCAUUUAAUCCCAUUGCAAUGUGUGGCCCAGUCUUCAUGCAAGGACAUCGGACAACAGCAAAGAUGCCCCACACUUUCACAGGUCACUCUCUUUUGUGUAUCAUCCACCUUUCCUUUACAAGAGAGAACAGUGGCUGACUGACACCAGACCUGUUUAUGAAACAAAAGGUUUGAUUGACUCUGCCUGAAAUGAAGUUGAUGGGAACCAGUUCUUUCUGUUAAGAUGUCUUCAUUUCUCAAAGAGAAAUGUGAAACAAAGGGCUGCCUUAUGACAACGCUGAACCAUGCUGGUUGCUUUGACUUUGACUUAGCAUUCAUUGUAUAAACUCAGUCAUUGUGGUUUGUAAACAACGAUUUCUAGCUUAAUAUAUUGUGUCAACAAUGGAUCAUACACAACAUAUUUUUUUUUGCUUUAAAUCCAGAUUAAAACAAUCCCAUCUGUAAUAUUAUACUAAAUGUUUUUUUUUAAAUUUUAGACUGGAAAUCAACAAUUGGUGUUAAUUUUCUGAUUUGUGUAACUUUGGAAUAUACAUACAGUAUAAAACCUUUGUUUGGAUGGACAGUAUUAGGAUCUACAUAUACUAAAAUUCUCUAGAAACAAUUAUGUCAGUUACAAAGUUAUGGAAUGUAAUGUCUAAUAAAUUUAUUGGGAAAAAGGGAAUACAUGGGAAAAGGAAAAAAAGGGGGGGUCACAUGGUAAAUUGACUUUAUGGGGAAACCCAACUUUACAAAUCAGAAAAAUAUAAUGAUAUGGAAAAAUUGGAUGGAAGAAAGUGUUAUUGACAUUGGAUCAACUGAUAGAUAAUAAAAAUGAAUUUUUAGCAUUCUCUGUCUUAAGAGAAAAAUACCAUAUAUCAUACCUAACUCAAUGGCAAUAUUUACAGCUGCAACAUUUAUUAACAUUGUUUGGACCAGCAGCAUUUUCAGCUUCUGAGAUAACGUAAGAAUGUGUUAAAUCCUUUAAAACUAAAAAAGCCCCUAUACUGUUAGUUUUUAUAGAUAUUUGUUAUCAUAAAUCAAUUUGAUAUGCAGAUGAUAAGAAAUGAGUGGAAUUAAGAUUUAGAUGUUCCUAUAUUGCCUAGACAAUAAGAGAGUGCCUUAAGUUCUAUAGUAAGAAUGUCAGUGGACCUCGCUAUAAGAUUAUAACUUACACAACAAAAAAUAAUAUUUAGAAUUUAUGGGACUCUAUGUUUGUAUAGAAAUGGACUGUCCAAAGUAGCAUAUUAUUGGAGAUAUAAUAAGGAUAGUGCUUCUUUAAAAGAUAUGUUUUUACAGUGUCCUGUGCUAAGUUUCUGGAGAAAGUAGUGGAUUAUAUAAAUAUGAUUGUGUGAGAAAAACUAAAAUUUUCAGAAGAUAAUAUUUUCUUGAACUAUAUACUUAGUAUACGGAAUUUGAGAACCAGACAACCUAAACAUUCUCUGUGCCUUUACUAUGGCCAAAAGACUGAUAUUGAAAAGAUACAUGUAUGUCCCCUUUCACUCAAUGGAUUGAAGACCUGAUUGUACUUGCCAUCUAUGGUGGAUUGCGUGUAGAUACAUAGACUUCGUAUGGCUAAGUAUAAUGAAAUAUGGGACUCAUUUAUACAAAGUACAGUAGGUUAAAAAAAGAUAGUUGCAUAAAUGUGUUAGAAAUACUGUAUAUAUGUACUUGAAUAAUAUUUGAAUUAUGUAAGUAACAUACUAUUUCUCUUUGUGUAUUUCUUUUACUUUUUGUUAAAGCAGUUUCAUGUUAUUAAUUAAAAAGCAAUCCAAAUAAAGAAUAUGUAUUUUAGAAGUAUGUUUUAAAUUCACUUUGCUCUUUUCAGGGGAAAAGGGAAGAAGUACAAUGUUUUGAGUGCUCCAUCAAUAGGAAACAGUGAGCAAUCAAGCCCAACAGAGGCUGCCUUGUUUUUCAUUCUAGGACUAUAAGAGAAAUUACCAUUGGCAGUGUUACUCCAUGCUCUUUGUGUUACUUCUAUCCAAACUGCAGAAAAUGUAGUCAAGUAUAUAAUUUUAAAAACAUUAAAAUAAACAUCAUAGAGAAUAAAAUAUUCUCUGCUCUCACCAAAUGAAAAAAAUAUUUACUGUAUUUUAUUUAACAAGAGAACAGAGGCUUCUUCAAUUUAUCUGGGUACUUCCAGCAACAGAACAAUUAAACUUUUUAAAAUUGUUUGUGUUAUCCUAUUCCCCCAAUGAAGCAUUCUUGAAGUUUUUAUACUUUUUAAAAAGCAUAUUAUUAGUCAAUAAGAUUUUGGCACUGCUUUUGUUUGUUGGUUUUGCAAUCUGUCUGCUAGGCAGAAUUCAAGCAAUAGCAAUGUUAUUAUUUCAUGAUAUGUUGGCUGGCAUGUACGGUUGCUGCUAGCAUAAAAUUGAGAGCCAGUUUGGCCUAGUGGUUAAGCACCAGGCUAGAAGCAUGAGUUCUAGUCCUGCCUUAGGCACAAGUCAGCUGGCUGACCUUGGGCUAGUGCCUCUCUCUCAGCCCCAAGAAGCAGAA